rnacentral:rRNA from 1 species
CUACGGGACGCUGCAGUGAGGAAUAUUGCACAAUGGGGGGAACCCUGAUGCAGCAACGCCGCGUGGAGGAUGACGCAUUUCGGUGUGUAAACUCCUUUUAUAUGUCAAGAAAAUGACGGUAGCAUAUGAAUAAGCACCGGCUAACUCCGUGCCAGCAGCCGCGGUAAUACGGAGGGUGCAAGCGUUACUCGGAAUCACUGGGCGUAAAGGACGCGUAGGCGGGUUGGAAAGUCAGGUGUGAAAUCCUACAGCUUAACUGUAGAACUGCACUUGAAACUUCUAAUCUAGAGUAUGGGAGGGGGGGAUGGAAUUAGUGGUGUAGGGGUAAUAUCCGUAGAUAUCACUAGGAAUACCUAAAGCGAAGGCGAUCUCCUGGAACAUUACUGACGCUAAGGCGUGAAAGCGUGGGGAGCAAACAGGAUUAGAUACCCCAGUAGUC